UACGUAGGGGGCAAGCGUUGUCCGGAAUCAUUGGGCGUAAAGAGCGUGUAGGCGGCCCGGUAAGUCCGCCGUGAAAGUCCAGGGCUCAACCCUGGAAUGCCGGUGGAAACUGCCGGGCUGGAGUCCGGAAGAGGCGAGUGGAAUUCCUGGUGUAGCGGUGAAAUGCGCAGAUAUCAGGAGGAACACCAAUUGCGAAGGCAGCUCGCUGGGACGUGACUGACGCUGAGACGCGAAAGCGUGGGGAGCAAACAGG
rnacentral:rRNA from 1 species